AUGAACGCUGGCGGCGUGCCUCAUACAUGCAAGUCGAGCGAACAGACGAGGAGCUUGCUCCUCUGACGUUAGCGGCGGACGGGUGAGUAACACGUGGAUAACCUACCUAUAAGACUGGGAUAACUUCGGGAAACCGGAGCUAAUACCGGAUAAUAUAUUGAACCGCAUGGUUCAAUAGUGAAAGACGGUUUUGCUGUCACUUAUAGAUGGAUCCGCGCCGCAUUAGCUAGUUGGUAAGGUAACGGCUUACCAAGGCAACGAUGCGUAGCCGACCUGAGAGGGGGAUCGGCCACACUGGAACUGAGACACGGUCCAGACUCCUACGGGAGGCAGCAGUAGGGAAUCUUCCGCAAUGGGCGAAAGCUUGACGGAGCAACGCCGCGUGAGUGAUGAAGGUCUUCGGAUCGUAAAACUCUGUUAUUAGGGAAGAACAAAUGUGUAAGUAACUAUGCACGUCUUGACGGUACCUAAUCAGAAAGCCACGGCUAACUACGUG
rnacentral:rRNA from 1 species